UAGGGAAUCUUCCGCAAUGGGCGAAAGCCUGACGGAGCAACGCCGCGUGAGUGAUGAAGGUCUUCGGAUCGUAAAACUCUGUUAUUAGGGAAGAACAAAUGUGUAAGUAACUAUGCACGUCUUGACGGUACCUAAUCAGAAAGCCACGGCUAACUACGUGCCAGCAGCCGCGGUAAUACGUAGGUGGCAAGCGUUAUCCGGAAUUAUUGGGCGUAAAGCGCGCGUAGGCGGUUUUUUAAGUCUGAUGUGAAAGCCCACGGCUCAACCGUGGAGGGUCAUUGGAAACUGGAAGACUUGAGUGCAGAAGAGGAAAGUGGAAUUCCAUGGGUAGCGGUGAAAUGCGCAGAGAUAUGGAGGAACACCAGUGGCGAAGGCGACUUUCUGGUCUGUAACUGACGCUGAUGUGCGAAAGCGUGGGGAUCAAACAGG
rnacentral:rRNA from 1 species